CCCACCGUGGCGACCCUCAGCGGACAGACGGAGAGCUUUGCCUCCGUUACGUGUAGGCGUAUGUACUGUGCAGGGCCGUGCCGUUAUGAAUUUGAACCUUCGAAAUUUAAACGAGUCGGAGAAACUUGAUCGCUUAGAGGCUUAUGGUGUUACUAUUGACGCUAAUAAUGAAUCUACAUAGUUUGCAAUACCAGAGACAUCUGGUGAUCAAAGGAGGAAGCUCUUGAUAUUUUUUACUAAUAGAAGAUCUGGCAAUAGAUGAAGAAGAUGUAAGUGGAUCUUUACGCUUUCAUUUGAUGUGGACUGAUUGGCCUCUAUUGAAAAUCAGUGGCUGGCUAUGGCGUCCCAUCGAAGCCCAGUCCCAAGUUGUUCAGCAUUGCUCACUAACUGUUUUAAUACAGCAUCCUGAAAUCCAUUUGAAACAGAACAUAAGCAGACCAAGACCGCGUUUCCGCUGCAAGCAGCUAUGUAUAUCGUAUGAACCUUUGCCAAACGGCGUUCGUUUAACCCUUUUGUUUCGUCAGAACUUCGUAAAGACAGCACUGUGAUGUCCAAGUGAAACGAUCGGAAAGAAUGAUUAUUAUUAGCAAGAUUUCCUGGAAAUCUCUACUCAUCAUUGAAAUAUUAUGAUAGGACGAUAGAAGUCUCAAGAAAACUACCGAUAAGUCACGUGAUUAACUCGCAAUUUGUUAAUCGACAAAUCAGUUCCUUUUUUAAAUAUCUAUUCGAUUAUCAAUAAUAAAAUCUCGAAUAAAUAUCCUUUUUUUUAUCGCUUCCAAUUUUCGUAUUCUUCAUACGACAAACGUUACGAGACAUGCGUGCGCAUAUUUAUUCUGGCACACACGUGGCAACAGUGCUAUACAGGAAGCACGCGCAUUUCAUCUCCGCAGCUGUUUUUACAUCGGUGCACAUAUGUUUACGUUCCCGGCUAAGGACAAGUCGAGAAUAUGUUAUGAAGCGUUAAGUCGCGAGGGAAUGCUAGGAACCAAAAGGGGAGUGCCGUUUAAGUGGAAUGUCUCCUGUAUACAGGACGCGUCGUGGAAAAAAGUGAACGUAGCGAAAUUCGUGAAACUAUGCAAAUAAAUACUUGCCGGUGAUUUGUUGCUCGAUUAGCACGUGAUGAGGCUGAUUGAACAGCUGUAUUGAAUCUUAUUUUUUUUAAAAAAAGACUUCAUACUUCACCUUACUAUUUAAAUUUAAAAAUAGAAUUUUAAAAAUUAAAAGUCAUUUCGAUUAUAUUAUUGUAAAUCAUAAAAUAAUUAUUGUAUGUGUUAAUUUAUUUAUGUAAUUUUUGUAGAUAGAAUAGGAAAGAAUAGAUUUUUACAAUUUGAAUAAUAUAAUAUAUUAAUAAUUAUAUAAUUAUAAGCAAUAUUGUUCAUGCGACAAAAAGAUGCAAACAAAUAAAAUUCAUAUAAAUGUGA